GAGUGUGCACCCCGCCUUGGGAAAAGCCACCCCCAACUCCAACAGGACCGAUCUCCUCAGCCAGGCUCCUCCCCCACACCUGCUUUCUCCAGAAACAUUCUUUCUAUGUCAGUGUGCCCCAAACAAGAGCAGAUUUAUUUAAUCAGGGGCAGGACAGGAUGGCAAUUUACUAAUCAUCUUAAACUGCUUACACCACACACAGCAGAUGAACUCGAACUAAGACCUGAACUACGGAAGGAUGGGCCAAGGGGUGGAGACCAGAAUCAUGAACGGAAGCAGGUGACAUGGCAGAGGGAACAGACGGAGAAAUUACAGUUCAUGGGCAAAUGCCAAACACCCAGCCCGAGGCACAAAGGGUCAAGGCUUAGGACUGGGUCUCACCGAAAAACACCCGCAAAUGGUCAGGGCUGCCGGGUAAGGAGCAAGCAGAUUGGAAAAUGGUGAGAGCAGAACAAGGAGGCCCAUGGAGACCAUCUUCUUUUUUAUAGCCUCUUGGAAAUCAGUCACGAAGCUAAGUUUUGUUGAAUUGGCCAUGGCUUUGGCUUGCAACCAAGAUAAAAUGAGUGAUCGUGGAGAAGAGAUGUCACAUGCUUUUUGCCAGCUUUGGUUCAGGACUCCAAGACUUUCUUCAGGUCAAGUGGACCCAGCCUUCCCAGACUCUGAAAUGAGACUGUCUACGAAAUGAGAGAUGUGGACUAAAACAAGUACUUCUCGUCUUUGAUGGGCAGAUGACGGUCCCACCUAUGCCAUUAAGAUGCAGUUUCUGAUUCGCGAGGUCUGGGGUGGGGCCAGAGACUGCAUCCUGCCAUGCUUCCAGGCUCCACGCCCAGCAUGGAGCCCCGCCUGGGGUUUGAACUUGCAAAGCUGAGAUGGAGACCUGAGCUGAGAUCAAGAGUGAGACAUUUAACCAACUGAGCCACCCAGGCGUCCCAGUUUAUGCCUUUUUAAGUUUCUCCACUGAUCAGCAUUAAUUUCUUACGGCCUUGCUGAUUGAACUUGGCCUCUUGCUCUCACCCCUUACGUUUGCAGUGCCCUAAGAAUCCUCAAGCAGACUUUCUGCUGAGCAUGGACCUGGACUCAGGGCUCCACCCCAGGACCCUGAGAUCAAGACCUGAGCCAAAAUCAAGAGUUGCUGCUUAACCGACUAAACCACGCAGGUGCCCCGAAAUAAAUGGGUUUGAAAACAUAAUUUGAAACGUUAUGAGACCUCUUUAAAAUUGCAUUGGCUGUAAGAAAGCUCUUGCAAACAUCUUUUAUAAGCAUUUCUCUAUGGCCAAAUUAAUU